GCAUCCAAGAUUAAGAGCCGCCGCCUCAG
rnacentral:sRNA from 1 species